rnacentral:lncRNA from 1 species
UUUUUUUUUUUUUUUUAGGGCCACAUCUGCAGCAUAUGGAGGUUCCCAGGCUAGGGGUAGAAUCAGAGCUGCAGCUGCCAGCCACAACCACAGCCACAGCAACACUGGAUCAGAGCCACAUCUGAGACCUACACCAUAGCUCAUGGCAACACUAGAUCCUUAACCCACUGAGCAAGGCCAGGGAUUGAACCUAUGUCCUCAUGGAUACUAGUUGGAUUCGUUUCCACUGAGCCACAAAGGGAACUCCAGACUGCUCUCCCCUUGGUCUUCCCAUCGCCAGAGUCUCUAUAGUCCAAAGGGGGCAAAAUAAGCCAAAGGAAGGAACGCUGGUGUCCAGGGAGAUCCCUGAGCUGGUGAUUAAGCCACAACCAGCACUCAUGGCUGUAAUCCCCCAAACCAAGGGGACACCUGCAAAGGUGCCACACUAACCCCCGAGGAAAUGGGGAUAUGGCUUCCUGACUCCCUGCCAAGAUGUGAUGUGUUUAUUAGGUGAGAAAACUCCAAUUCUCCAUGUCGAAAGAGAGGAAGGAGCAAAGAGAGGAACCCCAGACUUCCUCUUUCUCCAUCAGGCAAAAUUUCAAAUAAUAAGCAGACCCACAGCAGAUGGACUGUGUUUUAGCACUCCUGUGGCAGGGAGGAGGGCGCAGUCUGGCUGUCUCUCUCUAAAUCGAGAGAGAAAACGUGAGCCAGCGUGAGUGUGUACAUGUCCGGGUGUGUGUGUGUGUGGGGGGAGAAUGGAGGGAAAGACGUGAAAAUGAGAAGAAGGAAGCAGCAGCCACUCAGAGGAGGAAAAGGGACGAUGAGGGCCAAGAGGCCAACACAGGACAAGUCAGACGUGGGGAGGAGGCGUGGGGAGCGGGAAGGAGGCAAAGAAAACCAGGAAACAAAGCAAGAAACAAACCACAAGGGAACUGUUAGUAUCCCAACUUACUGAUUCUGCAUCCAUAACUAACCACUUGGUUGGUUAUCUGAAGUGAGCGCUUCACAAAGCAGAGCUUCAGUAACUCUGGUUCAUUAAAGGGUGCUGGGCCUUUCUGUCCCUGCCACCAAGCCUGUCCAGCGCCUCUGUCCUCAGAUCGUUUCAAAGUGGAAGGUUCGAUCCAAUUCUCAUUAUGAGACCAUGGAAAACAAGAGGGUCAGACAUGGGAAGCAUGUGAAGAAAGAGGAUUGAUCGCGUCACAAAACCCCAUCUAGCAACAGCAGGGGUGGCAUCUUCUGCCAGCGGUCCCCCGGGGUUUUCCACGAGAAGACACCUCAUGCCUUCUGAGGUGGGAUGAGCGCUGUCACAGCCGAGUGGGGUGUGGAGCAGGUGACCUCAGUAGGGGUUGGCCAGCCUGAGGCUCUCUCAGCACUUCUGCCCUGGUUCUUCCAGGCCAGGACUGAGCUGGUCCUGCACAGACUUCGGCCACUGGGGCCAAGAGUCCUGGAGACGGGGUUCUGAGGAGAGCACAGGACAAUGGCCCCACUGGGCUGUCACACUCUCUCCUCGAGAGCUCUAUGACCCCCACCUGUCCUCCCUGCCCCCCCCCCCGCCCCCGGCACCCACCUGUCCUGGCCACCACGCUCAGCCUCCCUGCCUCCAGCACGGCUGCAUUCUGUCAUCUGUUUUGCUUCAGGACUUCUUGGUUUGGGUUUUCCCUUUGUGGUUUUCCUGGGAUUCUGUUCCCCCAAAUGCACUCAGAAUGUUCCAGUGCCACCGGACAGCUCUGGUCAGCACAUGCAUCCAUUUCUAUACCUUCUAACUGGCUUCACUGGCUUCCCUGGCCCUUCUCAGAGAAGGCUGGGCAGGAUGGCUGAGCAGGGCUCUGCAACCACUGUCUGGCAUCCUUGCCCUUCACUUCAUUUGCGUGACCUUGGGCAAGUUCCUUAGGCUCUGUGUAUUGGUUUUUUCCUCUGUUAAAUGGGGGUGCUAGUAACAAGACCCCCCUUCCCACAGCUGCUGUGAAGACUAAAGGGGCAACACGCCCAGCUCUGAACACUGUACCUGUCUUUUUUUUUUUUUUGCCUUUUUAGGGCUGCACCUGAAGUAUAUGGAAGUUCCCAGGGUAGGGGUCAAACUGGAGCUGCAGUCGCUGGCCUCCACCACAGCCGCACCAACACUGGAUCCAAGCCGCAUCCGCGACCCACACCACAGCUCAAGACAACAGCAGAUCCUUAACCCACUGAGCAAGGCCAGGGAUUGAACCUACAUCCCCAUGGAUACCAGUUGGGUUCUUAAUCUGCUGAACCACUACAGGAAUUCCCUGUUCCUGUCAUAGUCUAAGUGCUUGAUAAAUGUCAACCCUUGGUCAUCAGGUCCAACACCGCGGUAGCCCAGGACAAUCCCAUCAAAGAUGCUAUUUCCUAGCCUGUAUUAUAACCAAGCUUCUGCCUGAAUCACCCCUGACGCUGAGAGUUGACACAUCAAUGUCCACUCUUCUCACUGCUUAGGCUCUGUAUCACCCGUUUCUCUUAGUCUGGGUCCACACAUAAGCGGAUAUGAUUUAAAUGCUGAUUGCUGAGGUCUCCCUGUCCCCUCCUUGUCUUCAGGCAGCCACCACACUCCCCUCCACUGGGUCCUUGCAUCCUCUGUGACAAGGGCUCACAUUUUUGCUGCAAUCCAUUGUUCCUCUUCAUACUCUUCCUUCCUCCGCUCUCCGCCUGAGAUUUUCUGGCUGCCUUCUCUCAUAAGAUCUUGUCACACACCCCAGAGUCGAAGCUCUCUUUCUUUUUUUAUUCUGUUAACUCUUCCAAAGACCCAUCCUAGAGAAAGAGCGUAGGAAGACCCAGCUCCCAAUCAUGGCAAGGGACAAGCUUGGUGUGGCCUCCCAUAAACUGUCCAUCCGAUUACAUGGCCAUGUGUGUCUAUGCCCUCUGGGUUCUUGUUACCAAUCAGCUCUCUCCGCCUCGGGGUGAAGUUUCUGGAUCCACCUGGGUUUUCUCCCAGCUUCCAAUCCCUCCUUCACACCAUGGCCAGGAGUCUUGCAAAAUCAUAAACAGCCCCAUCCCCUGGUGGUAUGAAAAGCAGGCAGUCCUUGCAGAUGUGCCUGGUGCCUGCCUCUCCCAUCCCAUCCCCCCUCCCCCCUCUCCCUGCCAGGCUCCCUCUGACAAGCCCACAAGGUCUGCAAAAACACCGGGCAGUUCACACUUCCGGCCUCCAUGCAUGUUCUCCCCUCACCCUGAGCCAUCUGCCAGAUGAACGCCCACUUGCCUUUCCGCUUUGCACCUCCUCCAGGAAGCCUUCCCGGUCCUCUUCCCAUGCUGCUCCACCCAGCCCACUGCGCACCAGCCCAGGCAGGCAGCCCUUCUGCCUUCCCUUUGCUCUCUGUUCCUGCAGGCAGUGCAUGGAACCAGCGCACUUGUCGUAUCUGUAGCCUCUCCAAGACUUGGAGCUUUCUGAGGGCAGAGACUGUACCUUCCACCAAGUCCCAGUGUCCCCACCAUCGCUGACGACCAGUGAAGGAUAUCCCAAGUGGAAUUAAAAUGGAACUGAGUCGAGCAGAAAGAACAGAGCUGGGUGUUUCUGCCCAAGAACGAACACAAAAACACCUUAAGCAGAGCAAACUUCAAAGAUAUGGGCGUCAGCAGGUCCUGACGGGAACACACGACGGCUGACUCUCAGCCGUGGGGUCCAUCCCCUUUGCUCCCUGGUAGCCUGUGAGCUCCAGAUGCUGAGAGAUUGAACCGGGCUCAACAUUUUUGCUAAGAGCUACUGACCGUGGAAGAGCACAUGUCUGCGACAGUUCAUGGGAAGAUUAAAUGUCACCUUCAACUCUGACUGGACAUAUCCUAGAGGUUAUUAGGUGGACGCAAUAUUUUAUGGGCAGUGGAAUUUCUGGGCUCAUCUGCAGUUUGCGCUGAGACCUGAGGCUUCAGGAGAUGAACAGCAAAGAAGAGAGUUCAGAGCAUCCGCUGACUCAGCAAAGUCUCCCCAUUUCACACAACUUGGUCCCCCACUCCUCAUCUUUACGUGGCUUUGCUUCCUGGCCGGAUGCAGUAACCAGGGCAACAGGAGCCUCCCAGUCCUCCUCCCGCAUCCAAGUGUUCCCUGCAGACCCUGAUACCCCAGAGUUCCCCUGUGAAGAUUAAAGGGCAAUACGGUUACCAGGGGUCAUGUGCCAAGUAAGCUCUUGGGGUAUCAAAGAACCAGACCUCAGGAGUUCCUGUCAUGGCUCAGAAGUAAGGAACCCGACCAGUAUCCAUGAGGAUGCAGGUUCGAUCCCUAGCCUUGCUCAGUGAGUUCAGGAUCUGGUGUUGCCAUGAGCUAUGGUGUAGGUCAUAGACACAGUUCAGAUCCCACAGCUCUGAUCCUUCCCCUACCCUGGGAGCUUCCAUAUGCCACAGGCAUGGCCCUAAAAAGCAAAGAAGAAGAAGGGAAAAAAGAAGUACACCUCAUGCAGACAGCGCCAGGCUCUUCUGCACAUAUAUCUAAACGAAAUUGGGAGGGGAAAAAAAAAAACAAAACAAAAAAAAAACAGAAUCAAUGUCCUCAAUUCUUGCAAAUUUCCUUUGAUAGGCCACUUAGAAAAUCCCAUGCCCUAAAUCAUCGAGAUGCGAAGAGGACUUAGGAAGGAAGGGUGGCGCUAAAGGCACAGCUCAUCUCCACAAACCCUAAAAAACACUGAGACCACUUAGGUACUGGCGCGCGGGCUGGCAGAUGUUGACAAGCAGCAUCUGAAAGGGAGGGGUGGGAGGACCCAUUUCCCAGCCGGGGGGAGACUGAUGUCUAUAUGAGUGGUUCUCUACUGAAGUAGAAACGGCCAGACACCACCCUUGGUCGAAAAAGAGAUGGCAAGAUGGUUUCCAGACCACAUCUGAAUCCAGGGUUCAGCAAAGGAGACUUGGAAAUCAGUUGUGACUGGGAGAGAAGGACAUGCUGCAGAAAGCUGGCUAUGACCCCCAGAAGAGGUGGCAACGGGAGACAAUGAACCGUGGGAGUGAGAGCCAGGCAGCCUGGACAGGAAGCUGGGACCCCCACCCUGGCCUCCUCCUCCUGGGCCCAGGGGCGGUUGUCCAGCCAAGAUCACAGGUGAGUUCACAGGUGAGCCUGUUAGGAUGGGGAAAUGGGUGAGACGUUGAUAGCAUCGUAACAACAGCCGGGCAUUCUGACCUUCCAAGCUGUUUCUCUUUGCCCAGCCCUCUUUGGGAAAUUAUGAUGCAUCACUGCAUUUUCCAGUGACCACUUCUUUGAGGCACGUGUGUUAAGUAAAGUGUCUCAUUUAAUCCUCAGAACCCUCUAUGGUCAAUAGUAUCACCAAUCUCACAUUGCAGGUGAGUAUACUGAUGCAUAGAAAGGUUAUGCAUCACUGAAGGUCAGAGAGAGAGUGUGUGUGUGUGAGAAUGAAGGUAAGACCCCGCUCAGCCUGAUUUCAAACCUGAACUCUUAACUGGUAGAAUUAGGAGAAAAAAAGAAAAAAGUCCAUCAGGAAAAAUUAUACAAAUAAGCCAGCAAUGGGAAGAUACAUUCUCUAAGGGGACAAGUUCUGAACAAAAGCAUCUGAGUUCUCUAGCUUUUGCCAAGAAAAAACACAGCAAGAUGGUCAGCUUGGAGAGGGUUAUAGCCUGCGGUCAUGAAACAGAAUAAUUUUCUCAAUGAAAAUGACUGGCGCACAUGGAGAAAUAAGUACCUUGCCCAGGAUGUUUGGAAAUAAACCCUUGGCUGGAAGUGGGAGACGGGGGUGGGGAGGAAGGAGAAAAAGACCCUGCGUCCUCCUUUCAUUCUCCUGAAAACUUUGAUGAGCAGUGACCUCUCCUCCUUCCUCUGUAACAAACAUAGGGCAGAGACCUCAAAAAUCCAAUCAUCCGGGAAAUACUUUCCAAGGGAAAUAAUCACCCGAUCCCAGAAUUUUGCAGGCAGGAGAGAUUUGGAGGAACAUCAAGAAAGAUCUAAGGAUAAUGAUACUGGUCCGCAAAUUAGAUGCAGCCCCACAAUCCAACAAGGUGGCGAAAUCCAACGCUAACGUGACUUGCAAAGUCCUCGGAGCCAAGGCAUCAAUCACGCUGGUGAAGAGAGUGAUGAGCCCUUGUUUUUUGCCCCCCUCUCCAUGAGUCACCAUCAUGGGGCAGUACGGGAUGUGUCCUGGACAGCUGUCAACCAACAGUCAGUCAUCCCAGGAGGACAGAAGAUGGAAAUAG